rnacentral:lncRNA from 1 species
CUUUGUUUUCUCCUUAUUGUUGAUUUCAGCGAUCCUAAGGUCCACAGCACCGUGGAAAGAGCUGUGAGGAGCAUUCUGGGCGAGCAGUCCAAUGAGCCCCGUAGCAACCUGCUCAGCCCAUCUCAGGUGGUGGUGGAGGAGCCUGGGCACCACCUCCACCACCACCUGAGAUGGGCUGAGCAGGUUGCUACGGGGCUCAUUGGACUGCUCGCCCAGAAUGCUCCUCACAGCUCUUUCCACGGUGCUGUGGACCUUAGGAUCGCUGAAAUCAACAAUAAGGAGAAAACAAAGCUAAACGAUGUGCAAUGUACUCACUUAGAACACUUUCUUAGUCUGUUUCUGCGUAGUUCCAGAUGUGUAGAUAAAUGGAUCAAGUCAUAUGCGGGGCAGUACAUGGAACUCACAUGUCAGCUGGCGAGGUGGGGUGCAUGGAGCGGCGGAGCUUGCAGAAAGCCUUGUGCUCUAUGUUCAUCAUUUUUAGGCAAGUGUUUACUUCCCAGGCCUGCAGUAUGAAACAGGAAGUCCCAUUAGUGUAAUUUCACAACAGAUCUAUCCUGCUGUGCUAACUCGUUGUUGAAAGGCUGGUAAAGAGCUCACUAACUUGUAGCAUGUCUCUAACUCUCAUUCUCUUACCAGCCGAGCGAGGUCGUUUCCCUCCUCCAGGGUUUCCUUCCACACCCUUCAAAUAAAACACAGAGCAUUUCAACUUUCCUGGCUUCUGAUUUUUCUGUUGUUUAUUUUACCCACAUCUCCUGGAGUGCUGCUGGUGGCAGGGAAUGGCAGUGAAGGUGAGUGCUGACGUGGUACUCACCACUCCCUAAGGGAUUUUUGCCCUGAGACACCAGCCAGUUGCUCAUGUGCUCCGUGGUGACAUGGGGAGGGACCUGGCCUUGACUCUGGAGCAGCAGAUAGUGGACCAUGAGCUUCUUCUGCAAGAUGAGGUAAGGUGUGAGACCGUGCCACGAAAUACCAUGUCAUUUACUUUCAGAAGGGCCUCUCGCAACAUUUCACAACUGCUCAUGCCUCACAAUUUGCAAGUGAUAUUAAGAACUCUUGUUUAUGUUUUUGUAUGGUGAAUCUUACCUGUUUAUUGUAAUAUGUUUCCUCCCAGCAGGCCUGCAGAGUCUGAAAAUUAAGGCUGCUCCUACAGAAUUCCUUUGAAGAUCAUGAAAAUAAUGAUGCUUUGUUAUGCACAUUAUGCACAGGCAUUUACAGUAUGCUAAAAUUAAUUUAUCCUAAGAUUACCUUUGUGGGACCAUAAGUGAACUCCGGAAUGCACCAAACCCUAUCCAUGGUAAGAUGGGGAAGAAAUGCAGCACUAUAGAUAUACGGGAUGCUCUAGAGAUAACAGGAAUGACUUACAGUCGCGAAUGAUCAAUGGCUGUGGAGUCCUCCAAUAUGCUGCACUUAGAAUUGAGUUGUAGGCGAUGUUUGGCGCAAAAUAGAAUGUUUACAUUCUAUUGCCAUGGAGAAAUGGAAUGUGUAGAACCUGUUUAAUUGAUUAUGCUUCUAUGUCUUUAUUUCGUUAAACAUUGAACUCUGUAUUAUGUCAUAAUGUGUAUAUGAGGACGUAGGAGCCCGUCCAGAUUCAUGACCCGAUUAUCCAGGUGCAUGUUGCUUAGACCUACUAAUCCAUCCUUGGUUUACAAGUUAAAUACAUUGUUUAUAUAUGCCUAUACAAAUCCAUCGACCACAUCCAUUUAAAGCAAUGAUUGUCAAUUGAAAUUGUGGUUGUUCUGUUCUCCUGUUGUGCGCCUUGAGUGUUUGUCCCCUUAAGCACAUUAUUCCAAUAUUUUUCCGAGCUCUGAAUUGACACAAUGAACACUUUUGAAAAGAUAGUCGGUUAAAAAUAAGAGUAUGAAUGACAAUAAACGUAUGACUUGGAUUGUAUGCGUAAUAGUGUAGUAAACAGUAUCGCUCAGCGCGGGAACUUUUGGUGUUAGGAAAGUUUCCGUUUUUAGCCUCCAUGACACGUAUCACUUCGUUGUCUUGUUGGUAAUAGUAAAAAUGCAUGACAGUCGGCAUUGUAAUGGUCUAACAGGUGUUUUUCAUUUUGCUUCUCACAUUAAACAGACAUUUGAGAACGG